rnacentral:misc_RNA from 1 species
AAGCACCUCGUGUUGAUACAUCCGCCAUUUUGAAAUUAAAGUACAACGUUUGACAAAACGACUGAAGUAAAAUCUUCCUGCACAAGAGGACAAUGUCAUUUCCUCCUAGACCUCCCAUAGGCAUGCCCCCAAUGGGAUAUGCCUAUGCACCUGUUGGAAUGAUGCCCAUGGGGCUGGGCAUGAUGCCCCAACCGGUCAUGAGGCCAAUAGUGACAACUCAAAGUGCAGUCUCACAACCAGCCAAACCAUUCAACAGAAAAUUAAUUCCACAAGAAAUACCAAAGGAUGAGAAGGAAGAAAAACCUCCUGUGACCACAGUAUUUGUUGGAAACAUCAGUGACAGAGCCCCAGAUGCCAUGAUACGACAGAUGUUACAGAGAUGUGGUAAUGUACUCAGCUGGAAACGUGUGCAAGGAGCCUCAGGGAAAUUACAAGCUUUCGGAUUUUGUGAAUAUGAAGAUCCAGAAGCAACUCUGCGAUGUAUGAGACUUCUAAAUGAAUGGGAAAUAGCAGAGAAAAAAUUAGUGGUAAAAGUUGAUGCCAAAACAAAAACACUUUUAGAUGAAUACAUCAAUAAAAAGAAAUCUAGAACUGGUGGUGUUGAAAGUGAAGAUAAAGAAAAGAAAGAAAAUGGAGACAAAGAAGAGAAUGAGACAAAAUUAGAGGAAGACCUGGAUGAAUUCACAAAACGAGAGGACCGGGUGGCAAAGGCUGGCCUAGACGCCAUCAUGAGAGAAUAUGCAGAGGACCUCUCAAAGAAGAUGUUCAUGGAAGUUGAAAAAGAGCCAAAACCAGUUAAAAAGAAAGUUGAAGAAGAAAAGAUCAUCAAAGACACAGGAAUUGAUGACAUUGACAUAGAAGAUGACAAAAGGGAAAUAAUCCACAGAGAAAUCAAAAGUUUCAGGGAUCUCCAUAAAAUGAGCCCUGAUGCUCGUGCCAAGCAUCUGUUACGGUCCUGAACAACCUGUAUAAUAAUAUGUCAAAGACUCUCUGGGAGAGGAUGAGGUUGAAAAAGAUGCUGAGAAGGAAAAGGAAAGGAAAGACCGGGAGAGGGAAGAAAGAAUGAAGAUGGUGGAAGAGAGAAGACGAGAGAGGGAGAGAAUGAAGGAAAGAGAAAGGGAAAGGGAACUGGAGAAGGAACGCUAUGAAAGAGAAAGGGAACGCAUCAGAAGUAGGACAAGGUCAAGAUCUAGGUCACCCAGGAGGUGGAGAGAAAGGUCAAGGUCACGAGAAAAGGAGAGGAGAAAGGAACGUGAUAGAGAUGCUGAAGAUGAAGAGGAGGCUUACGAAAGGAGAAAAUUGGAGAAAAAAUUGAGAGAGAAGGAAGCAGCAUAUCAAGAGAGAUUAAAGAAUUGGGAAGCCAGAGAAAGAAAGAAGGCAAGGGAGUACGAGAAAGAACGAGAAAGGGAAGAGGAGAGGAAAGCAGAGGAGUCCAGAGAAGGAAGAAGGCUGAAGGAAUUUCUGGAAGAUUACGAUGACGAGAGAGAUGAUGUCAAAUACUACAAAGGCAGCUGUCUAAAUAGACGACUGAAAGAGAGAGAAAAGGAGCGGGAGGCUGAUGCCAGGGACCGACAGAGGGAGAAGGAAGAACUGGAAGAGAUCAAGAGGAAGUUACUGGAUGAGGGACAUCCGGACCCAGAGGCUGAACUGAUGAAGAUUGAAUUAGAAAGAGAAGAACACCUGAAACCACGUCUGAAUAUCUCCGAAGAGAAUUCUCCUGUCCAGCAGAAGGAGCCGAUCAGAGUAGACUCAUCAGAUGAACCGGAGGAGGAGGAGGAGAAGCCACAGUUACCUCCCAACAUGAAAUCCACCCUGAAGCCUAUUGAUGUGUCCAACAGCGUGACCCCAAUGUCUGAGGACAACGACAGCAACUUCCCUCCCCCAGACGAGGACUCCCAGCCUGUGUAUGGUCCAAGCAAAGAGGAAAAUGCAAAACUAGGAUUUGGAGGGCUGAAGUUGGGAAGCUCUAGCAGUCCGACAGAGAGUAUCUCUAGCAAGAGAAAGAAGUUGACUGUUGGUGAUGUGUUUAACCAAGACGAUGAAGAUAGUUCAUCCGGUUCUAAGAAACGUAAACUGGUACCUCUGGAUUAUGAUGAUGACAAGGACGGCAAGAAAGGAGCCACAGCAGAGGAGAAGAGGCUGAAGAUCAAACAGUUGAUCGAGAGCAUUCCCACAGCCAAGGAUGAGCUGUUUGCCUACUCGCUGGACUGGAACAUUGUUGAUCAGGUUCUUAUGGACAAGAGGAUCAAGCCAUGGGUUAACAAGAAGAUAAUUGAGUACAUUGGUGAGGAGGAGCCAACCCUUACAGAUUUUAUUUGUCAGAAAGUGAUGGCAAGGAGUGGACCUCAAGCAAUACUCAACGAUGUAGCUAUGGUGCUAGAUGAAGAAGCAGAGGUGUUCGUUGUGAAAAUGUGGAGGUUAUUGGUGUACGAAACUGAAGCCAAAAAACUAGGUCUAGUCAAAUGAUGACGAUCUGUGGUUAGGCAGUUUAUUCAUUUAUAGUAUAAAAAGUGAUAGUGGGUGUAUGUAUGCAUGUGUAAAUAUGUGUGAUGAAGUAUGCUCGAGCUUGCUCCAGCCUGAGGCAGUGCUAGCACGUCUGUCCAUGUUCAUUCAACUUCUGCCUCCGUCACCAUUCCAAGAAGACAAUCCAGGUUUUGACAUUACGGUUGUGGUUCAGACCUUCCUACCAGAUUCAAGUGUCACUGACUCAUUGAAAUGAAUUCAGGAAAAUUACCUUAUUUUCUAUCAUCGAUUUGCUUAUGAUGUUGGUAUGUGUGUUACAGUGAUGUCCUGAUUUUUCCUUGUUUAUAGGAAAUGUUAUAAAAUAUGAAGUGUAUGCUAAACUUAUAAUGAAUGAAUUUGAGAAUUUGUUUAAAUUACACAUUGUAAAUACUCAUGAGUGAAAAACUGGUCCCAUGAAUGAGUGGUUGAUACAUAAUAAAUCAUGUGAUAUUCUC